CUUCAGCCGGGACUUACGCUGAGAAAGGAGCGGGCGAAAACAGCUCUCCUAUUGUUUUCGUUUCCUACGUGGCCGAAACCCAGAGGAGUGGCGGGUUGCCUACCUGCCUUCCAUGCCCCGGGCCGGGAGCGGCUGCGCGACCGGCCGCGCGGUUCGUGGCCGGCGCUGGCUCGCCGGCCACCUCACCUAUGGCGCUUUCUUCCCGGUUCGGACCCGCCUGACUCAUCGGGGAUGGGUGGCAGGGGUGGGGGAGACCUCACAGGGCGGAGGGACAGGAGGAGGCGGGCCGGGCCCUUCCCCCAGAGCCGGGGAGGAGGCGUUGCCGGGGCGCAGGUGAAGCCGGCUCCGGCCGAUCCCGGGAACUUUCGCCGCGGGGACUCGCGGCGCGCGGCGCGCAGGGCCGACCCAGGGAGCCGCCUUCUCCCACCUGGGCGGCGCGCGGGGCCUGUGGCCGGGGGGAGCCCGUCAGCCUCGGGCACGUUCUGGGUCUGCCCGCAGGCCGCGGCUGAUGGAGGCGGGUGGCGCCACCCUGGGCGCAGGUGACACACGCCAGGCCGGGGUUUCCGCCGGCGCGGGAGAGCGCCGGGAGGGCGAGACGCAGACACCUCGGGGCCGGGGGACGACGGGGCCGCGAUGGCCCGGGAGCUGAGCCAGGAAGCGCUCCUGGACUUCCUGUGCCAGGCCGGGGGCCGGGUGACCAACGCCGCCUUGCUGAGCCACUUCAAGAGCUUCCUCCGCGACCCCGACGCGCCCCCCGGCCAGCAGCAGCGCCGCCGCGAGCUUUUCAAGGGUUUCGUCAACUCGGUCGCCGCAGUGCGCCAGGACCCCGACGGCACCAAGUUCGUGGUGCUCAAGAGGAGGUACCGGGACCUUGUGGGGGAGGAGGAGGGGCUGCGGCGACCCCGCGACCCGCCCGCGGCCGCCGCCCCUGCAGGGGGAGCUGCACCCCGCUCCCCGCUCCCCGCGCGCCGAGGGGAGCAGCCGCCGCAACCGCAGCCGGGGAGGCGGAUCCGGCGCGAGGAGGCGCCAGCAGGUGCCGCAGCCCGGGUCGCCGACGCAGGUUGCAAUGGACUCCCCGCGGGCGGCGCCCGGGAGGCGGCGCGGGGAGGCGGCAGGCCGAGGGGCCGCUCCGGACAUCGGGCGCCGGUGUCCGCGGCCGCGGUGGCGGCGGCGGAGACGCAGGGCCGCUGCUGCUGGGAAUGCCUCCAGAACGGCCUGGGGGGGCUCCCGGACCCCGCCAGCGCCAGCGCCGCGGAGAAGCCAGCCCAGGACGACCGCGGGGCUCCCAGGCCGCAGCGGGAAGGUGCGCCCGCCGAGCCCCCGCCAAGGCCUGCCGCGCCCCGCUCGCCUCCUGCCACCGUCGAGGCUGCUGCAGCGCCCGCUGUCUUGUCCAGCCCCAGUCCCCCAGGAGGUCCGCCCGCGCCGGUGACCCCGGGCCCCGUGCUCUACUCCACUCUGCAGCAGCAGCAGCAGCGCACUCGCGAGUGGGUAGCCGGACACCCCCAGGUACCCGAGGCCCGGGACCACGGCCCCGUCCGAGCCUGGUCGGUGCUGCCGGACGACUUCGCUCGGCUGCCCUCGGAGCAGGGCUCCUGGGUCCAGGAAUCUGAGUCAGCGCCCCUGGGCCCCCUUCCUCCCUCUCAGUCUCUCGUCGCUCCCACUGUUUCGGAAGCCUGGUCCGGGGAUUCUCCGCUGGCAGUCUUUCGUAGCAUUCGAUGUCAGCUGUCCCUCCAGGAUUUGGAGGACUUCGUGGAACAGGAGAGUCACGGCAGUGAGGAGAGCAGCAGCGGCCCCAGAGAGUCCCCUGGAGGUUCCGAAGAUGGGCUGCGUCUGGCCCUGGGAGCCCCAGCUGGGAGAAGGCUCAGGAAUCCAGCUGGGGCCCCUUCUCCAAAGGAGGCCAGGCCCACCAGGAGCCCCCAGGGCCUCAGGAAUGUAGGAGAUGCUCACACCUCUCAGCCGAUCUCCACAGGAGCUGAUGGUCCUGCAGGCGACCCCCAACCAUUAUCCUGGCCAGCUCCCAAACUAAGGAGAUCCCUAAGGAGAAGCUCUAGGGCGGGGAGAGCCAAAUUGUCCUCCUCUGAUGAAGAGUGCCUUGAGGAGGACUUGCUGAAAAGGAGCCGACGCCCUCCCCGGGCCAGGAAACCCUCCAGAGUGGGAGCCAUGUCCAGCCCAAGGGUGGAUGCUGCAUUGACACUAGCACAUGUAGACGUUAAGGCUGCCACCUCCGAGCGGGAUCAUCCAUGCAGCUGGUGGGCCCCUGGAGGGGACAGGCCCACAGCCUUGGUCCCCCACCGAUCUUCCGAGCACAAGUCAUCCCUCGUCCCCCUCGAGGCCAGGGAGCAUGAAUGGAUCGUGAAGCUGGCCAGUGGCUCUUGGAUUCGGGUGUUGAGUUUGUUCUGGGAGGACCCCCAGCUGGCUUUGCACAAAGACUUCUUGACUGGGUACACUGCCCUGCACUGGAUAGCCAAACACGGUGCCCUCAGGGCCCUUCAGGACUUGGUCUCAAGUGCACAGAAAGCAGGGGUUGCUCUUGAUGUGAAUGUGAAGUCCAGCUGUGGGUACACCCCGCUGCACCUUGCAGCCAUUCACGGCCACCAGGGGAUCAUCAAAUUGCUUGUGCAAAGGCUGGCAUCUCGUGUAAACAUCCGAGACAGCAGUGGGAAGAAGCCUUGGCAGUAUCUGACCCGUAAUACCUCUGGGGAAAUAUGGCAGCUACUGGAAGCCCCACGGGACAAGCCCAUUUUCCCCGCCUAUUCGUUGGUUCGUAGCUCUUCCCCCACCAGGAAGGCCAAGAGCCGAGAAGUAUCUCGACAUGUCACUCGAAAGACUUCCUUAGCUGCACUCCUCAAAAGUCAGCACGCCAAAUGGAAGCUGGCCAACCAGUAUGAGAAAUGCCCCAAUCUGAGGGAAAGAGAAGAGGACAGUGACUGAGGGGGCCUGUCUCCAACAUGGCCUCCACACCCCCAUCCUUGAACUAGUCAGUGAGAGAAUCCAGGGAGAGAGGGGAAAUUGCCAAGGAGUUGGUUGAGAGGUCAAGUGAGAUGGCCUGCUUAUUUACCUCCAUGGAUUCUGUGUCAGCGCAUCCUGGGCCUUCAAGGUCAUCCAAGCUUUCUAACGGUGAAUGUAGACAAGAGUCAGGUGCCUAAACCUGGGUGUUCUUUCCCUUCCUUUGCCACCUGGGCACAGGUGGCCACGCUAUUCUCCCAAGCAGCUACCCCAGGCCUUGACUAGAGAGGGAACAGAUUAUCUAACAAGAAGAGAGGCAAUUCAAGGAACUGAGAAGGUUCAAACAAAAUCCUCUCUCUGGCUAGGAGCUCUCUGGCUUCCAUUCAUUUGGAGAAUAAAUCUUGGCUGAGGAAAAGCACCAGGUUUGAAAUCAGAUGGCUUCUCUUUUUUCCUCUCUCUCUCUUUUUUUUUUUUUGCAUUCAGAUUGGUGCAAUAAAAUUACUACUGGAAAGUAGAAGUUGUGCUAAGAGAUUCAUCUACCCCAUCCUCAGGUUUUCCUUUGAAUGCAACCUUUGGUGGCCAGUGCAAGAAAAGAUUCAUUAAUCUUUUCAGAGAAGCAGUUGGGUAUAAGCUUUUGAAAUGAGACAAAGGGAAAAACGAAAAGAUGCUACCAGCAAUGAGGACAAAACCACUGCAAUGCAAGAAGAAAUUUUUUUUUUCAACGUUUCGCAGGAGGUCCCCUCUCCAGGAAACUGGUUGCCUGCUUCUGUUCAUGGCAGGAAAACAAGAGGGUACUCCUGUUACCACCCAUCUGAAACCUGUGAUUGUUCUGUUUGCUUGUGGGGUGGUGGAGACAUAAGACAGGUGUGAGCCAGAUAUGACUGAAGAACAUUUAUCAAUACUAUGCUUGAUUGUUACUUAAAGUGGGCUAGAUCUACCAGUAUCACUGGUCUGGGUUUUUUUGUUUGUUUUGAUAGCUAGGGAGAAUAUUUUAGAAUGACUUUAUCAUUCAACAUAAGAAUGGGGAAGGGAAUAUAGUUAUCCAGAAAGCUUUUUUUUCCUGAUUGUAUGCAUCUUUUACUUAAAGAAUUUCCUGAAGAUGAAAUUUGCUCCUAGUUUUAUUUUCUAUUAAUAAUAAUAAUAAAAAAAACAUUCAAACAUAGUUACAAAAGAUAUACUUUAGGGAGUAGUAAAUUCUAAUCAUUUUCAAUCCCAUCAAUUACUUUUAAUUUACUUUUACCUGACUAGCAUGCAUAUUUUAUCUUCCACUGUUCUCAUUAACAGCAGACUCCAUGUAUUAAAGCAAUUUUCCUAGCUUACAUUUUUAAUGGCCAGGAGGUAUAUCACUACGUUAAUAUAUAAUAGUUUGCUUAGCUAUUUCUCUACUUUUUGACAUGCGGAUCAUUUCUCACUAUAAUAGUACUGAUAUAUCUUUUUGAAAAUAAUUGUGAGGUCCUUUCAUUUCUUGGCUAUUUUCCCAGGUGCAAUUUAAUAGCUUACAUUUACAUUUACCACUUUGUACUUCAAAGGGAUUGAGUCAAAUUAAAGUGACAUGAGCAAGGAAGUAAAAACUAAGGAAAUCUGAAUAAACUAUAGACUGCAGAUAAUAAAUCAAUGUUGGUUCAUUAACUGUAAUACAUGUACUAUACCUAUGUAAUAUGGAAAACUAUGUUGGGGGAUAUUUUAACUCUAUGUGCUAUCUGUUGAAUUUUCCUAUAAAUCUAAAGCUAUUCUUAAAAAGCUUAUUAAUAAAAAAAAAAAAAAAAAGAAAGUACAAAGCAAAGAUGGUAAAACCUUAACAUGGAACAGGAGUUCCAUGUUAUACAGCUCUUGCAGCUUUUCUCUGUUAAAUUUAUUUCAAACCA